rnacentral:ncRNA from 1 species
GAAUAAAUGAUGAUACAUCAUUGUAUAACCUCAAUAAUAUGGUUUGAGGGUCUCUACCAGGAACCGAACAAUCCUGAUUACAAGAUGAUGCGCAGCCCGC